UAAAACCCCAAUGCUCCAGUCUAGUCUCCGGUCUAGUCUCCAAGCACGUCAUCUCUUGUCAAGGGUUGUGUCGUGUCGCUUAAAUGCGGUGCGGUGUGCUACGCUGCUCUUCCAUCUAGGCCAUGGCUUGAACUUCCUACACGCUGCUAGCGUUCUUGCCAUCCAGAACUCAAAACCACUCCGUUGAAACUUCACGUCAGCGAAACCAUGCUUGCUCGCCCCUUUUCAACCCCGGCUCCUAGCCAUCAGUGUGCUUGCAAGUCAUAAAGAACUUCAACUUUCCGUGACAGAAUCUUCAAAGCUCACGCCGCGCAAACGAGAGGACUCGGAAGAAACUUUGUCCACCGUCAAGGCAAGAGCUGUUGAAUCUCUCAAAAUCACCAGGCAAUCAACCAACCAAUCAAGGCAAAGGGCUUCCCCAGACGUCAUCUACGCAACCGCGAAUCCCAGCCGGAAUUCCCCUUUCAGUUCAACGCGAGCCAAGGAGACGAAACGACACUGCGGCCAGCAGCACAACCACAAUCAUGCCGCGGUGCACCACUCGCAUCCGAGAAAGGCACAAAAACCAGCGGAGCAAUGCCACGGGUUUCGCUCGGGGAUGAAUCCGCGAGAGUGGAAGAGUUCUGCAGAACAUCUGCGGUUUGUAUCGAUGCACCUUAUGAGAGCAUAAGACCAAGGAUUUACACAAGCUCCAGUCUGGAUCCAGAACACCUGAGAAGAGAUGAUGCUGACCCUCAGAGAACCUCAGAUGAUGCUAACCCUGAAUCAACCAACAGAACUAACAAUUAUUGCUACAUGUGUGACUGCAUCAUAUAACAAUUAUUAAUUAAUAAUAUUAAUAAUGUUCAUCUUCUAGCUGACUACGUCUUGUAUUAAUUUUUUCUAAAAAUCCUGUCAAACGUGCACAAACUGACAGUCACUACCAUAAGCUACUACUAAAUAUUGUUGAAACAUUAUUUUCUGUAAAGUUGCUUUGUAACGAUUCGUAUUGUAA